rnacentral:miRNA from 14 species
ACACACACAUAUAUAUGUAUACAUAUACACAUACACACAUAUAUAUGUAUAUGUGUGUGUGUAUGUGUAUACACA